ensembl:miRNA gmo-mir-8159 gmo-mir-8159
UCAGUAACUGGAAUCUGUCCCUGCUGUGUGUCUCCGAUCGCAGGGUCAGGCUGGUUACUGCAC